rnacentral:rRNA from 1 species
UACGGGGGGAGCAAGCGUUGUUCGGAUUUACUGGGCGUAAAGGGCGCGUAGGCGGUCGUGACAAGUCACUUGUGAAAUCUCCGGGCUUAACUCGGAACGGUCAAGUGAUACUGUCGGACUAGAGUACAGAAGGGGGCAACUGGAAUUCUCGGUGUAGCGGUGAAAUGCGUAGAUAUCGGGAGGAACACCUGAGGCGAAGGCGGGCUACUGGGCUGAUACUGACGCUGAUGCGCGAAAGCUAGGGGAGCGAACGGG